AGCAGGCAGACAAGUGAGUGAGCUAAAUAGGCUUCACAAUGUAUCAUUUUAAAAAUGAAAUGAAAAGCAUUUUAUAUGAAAAUUCAUUUUAACUCACAUAUAAUUCCAUUACAAUAACCACAUCCUGUUUCAAAACACAAAAAAGAAUCCAAACAUCUCUUUGAAAAAUCAGGAAAAGUCUAUUUCCUUCAGAACGCAAAAAGAAAAUGAAAGGGGAGGACAGAUUUAUAAACUGAACUGUAGAACAAGUAUAAAACUGAGAUGAUUUUUAAAACUUCUAGCUAUGCAGUAACUGGAAGAAUAGACCCCAACCCCAAAGUACAUUUCAAAGGCAGUUUGUCUUAUAAAUGGUAGUUUCAAAAGUUUACAAAUGGUUGUUUACCUAUAAAAACAAGGCUUCAUAAUGAAAUUAAAACCUGGUUAACUUUUGUUUUGGGUCUAUUUUAAAAAAAAAACUGCUCUGUGCUGCGUAGGGACUAACAAUGGACACCCAGAAGGACGUUCAGCCACCAAAGCAGCAGCCAAUGAUAUAUAUCUGUGGAGAAUGUCACACAGAAAAUGAAAUAAAAUCCAGGGAUCCAAUCAGAUGCAGAGAAUGUGGAUACAGAAUAAUGUACAAGAAAAGGACUAAAAGAUUGGUGAUUUUUGAUGCCAGAUGAAACCUGUGAAUUCAGAGGAUCGUCUUCAUUUGUAUUUGCCCCAUUAAUGUUUCUCAUUAUUGUAUAACUUUUGGUUAAAAAUACAGUAAUACUCCCCACUUACCCUCAGGGGAUAUGUUCCAAGACCCCCAGUGGAUACCUGAAACCUCAGA